GAGCGAGCGAUGGGGAGUGAGACGCAAAAAGCAGGGCUGUACAGAUGACUCAGAGUCGCUGAGGCUGAGAACGGGAAAUAAUGCUGAUUAACUGCAGGCUGAGAAGCGUGACGCUGAACGUGUGGAUACACUGAGGGGAAAUGGUUCAUGCUGGAAUAACUGAAAAAUCAAAAAGAAAUGUGUUUGAGUAUAAAAUCAUCAGUACAUUGUCAAGUUGGAUGAAAAGAGCUCUUGUGAACAUUGCUAGGACACAUGGCUCCUUUCGGAUCUGUGAGACCACGCCAGUGUUGAUGUGAACCAACAAAUUCUCACACAGCUCUCUGUAAUGACACUCCGAGUCCUUCAAGUUUCACGGAGUCCCCUGAAGGAGAAGUUCAGGUGCAUGAUUGAUGACUGAAGA